CAAAAAAAAUUGCCACAAGGUGGACUCGAACCCCGGUCUUGUGACUGGUGGACCUAGAAAAUCCCACUGAGCCAUUCGGCCAACUUUUUGUAAA
ensembl:ncRNA W04A4.7 ncRNA